rnacentral:lncRNA from 1 species
CCAAUAAAAUCCGCCCGGACCCGGCCAAUCCGGUCCGGGUUUUAUACAAAUAAUACGGGUCCGGUUAUUGAAAUUUAAAACCUGGAUACUUCCGGGUCCGGUUCCGGUCAUGGCACCAAAAACCCGGAACCCGGAUCCGUGCCCAGGUUUUGAUGAGUUAAAAAAAGAAAAAGAAAGAAAAUAUAAAUAUAAUACACCCAAAAUUGAAACUUACCCUAAUUUUCUAUCCUAUUCAUAUGCAAACAUGUUGAGUGUUAGAAAAUGCAUAUUUAUAAAGGAGAAAACCGUCAUUUUACAUUUCAAGUCUUACUAACAACCCUUACUUUUAUGUAUUUAACCUUCUUGUGAUGUAAUUACGUGUGUGUUAUUUUAAUUAAGUAUUUUUUUGUAUUUUAGGGGCAUUAUAGUCAUUUCACAAUAAAGGAGAGAUCAGACGGCAAAACGGACAUCACUUUUGAACUCAGGACGGUCGAAAACCUUAGGAGGAGCAUAAAAGGAAAAAUGGCACUAUUCACAUCAUAUCAGUGGACGAAAAAUCUCGCGUACGGUGCAUGCAUCACACAGGAUUAUUGUCAACCAAACCGCGUUACUGUUCAUCCGGGUCAAACCGUGUUACUGUUCAUCCGCGUGGUCAAACCGUGGACUGUUGACUGAUGACGUGGCGCAAUCCUGAGCGUCCGAACUGUUUUUAAUCCGAUGGCCAUGAUUUACUCCAUGUAUCUAUAAAAAGGGGGCCUCUCCCCCCUAAUUUGAUAUCUCUGAAUUCAUUUUUGGGAUCCAUUUUCUGUAAUUCCUUCUCCAUCUUGUAUUUUCUUUGUAUUUUAAUAAAUUCCCAUUUUGCCCCUAGUUCAAUUAUGAGUAGCUAAUUUCCUUUCAAGCUUGGGUUGAAGGUGAAGUCUCAACAUGUGUCAUGGGCUUUAUUUGGUAAAUUUAUUUUCUUUUCCCCUCUAGUUUUUGUGGAUGAUUUGACUUAUCGUCGACAAAUAAUACUGAUCUUGUCUAGAUACCGCCUUGGUUACACCGGCUCUCUAGUAUAAGGUUAUUAUUAUUUGGCACGAUAAGCCCUUAGCACCAUAUUGAUUAGAGCGUGGUUCAUGAGGUGUGGAUUCCCCCCUCAUGAUUUAAUUGGCAUUAAUACGGAUUAUUUAGCCCAUGAUGCAUGUUGAUACGGAUCCAGAUACCCAAGUACGUUAUUUCAAUAGAUUUCUCUUCAAUUUAUUCUCGCCAUUUUAAUUCUAAUUUUAGAAUUUAUUCUCGCCAUUUUACCCCGGUGAAGUGGCGGAUAACGGUACUCCGUGACAAUCAAGUCGGUUAACUUCAGUUUCCCAUAAUAACUGAUAUUCUGAGGCGAAGGUAUGGACAGAAACGAGACUCUAGCGAAGCUUCACAAGCGAUUCCCUUCACUUCCUCAGAAUGCCCUCCUUACGAUCUAUAAAGCUCGGACUGAACGCAUGCGAUUGUUCAUGAGGAAUAACAUACCUGCAGACAUCCGUUGGUUAAUCGAGGCUAAAGUACGAUCGGCAGGUGAGUUACCUCCAAAAUUUAUUGCAUUCAUGCCUGGUUGUGGUAAAGGAAAUUAUGCAAGAAAACGACGAGCUCGAAGAAUUUCUGUUGCUUGUCACAAGUGUGCCAGAAUGAGUUGCGAUAGAAACCCAUGUUCUUUAGGAAUGGUGUCUGAUAACAGAGAAGAUAAGAUUCAAUUCAUUAGGGAUGGCUUGAAUAAGGAGUCAUUGGAUGAUAUCCUUUUGUCUCUUGAAACGCAUCCCAGUGGAUAUGUGCAAGGAGCGAUUCUCCGGUUAUGGCCAUUAUUCCAGAAAGAGCAUGCACGAUAUAGUCUCGGGAAUCUGACUAUAAACGACCCUGUUUGUCAGUUUAUAAGAAAACUGGAUGGGAAGCCGAUCCUCGACCCAUAGAGGGCGUUCAAGCCGUUUCUGGACGUAAAACCAGAGGAAGAUGUGAGCCACAGUCGCAACUACGUGUAAAUAUCCUUUUACUUUACUGUUAUUUUAUUUCAUUUCACUGUUGUUUUAUUGUUUGCAUUAUUGUCUUUAAUAAUUUUAUUACUGUUUGCUUUUUCCUUUUUACUGUUUCCUUUUUGACUCGCGAGCCACGUGCUUUACGCGUUAUUUGACACUGAUAUGUUACCUCAUUCACAGCUGUGAUCCAAUGUCACCAAGAUUCUUAAAUGUGAUUUAUCUUUUGUCAAGCACUCACAAAUUGUUUUUGAGAAGUAUCACAAUGGCAACUACUCCCAAUAGACAAUUCAAGAACAUUUGUGUGCUUUCUGGAUUUACCUAUGGCAAACAUAAAGAGUUCGUGGAGGCAGCCAUAGAUCUUGGUCGAAGCAUAGCAGCGAGAAAAUUACAUUUAGUGUAUGGAGGAGGUAACCGAGGGUUAUCAAAAAUGGUCUCAGAAGCAGCUUUUAUCAGAGGAAGUCAAGUGUUAGGCAUCAUCCCAAGAGUCCUAAAACCAUUGGGCAGUUCGUCUGACUCAUCAACUGGAGAAGAGUUAGUCGUCUCAGGUAUGCAAGAAAGAAUAACUGAAAUGCUUAAUCAUGCUGAUGCUUUUAUUUUCCUUCCAGGAGAUCUUGCAACACUAGAGGCACUUAUGACACUAGCAUCUUGGGCCCAUCUGCACAUCCACCAGAAACCCAUCGGUUUGUUAAAUGUCAAUAACUUUUAUGAUGGCUUUAUCGCAUUUCUUAACCAUGCAAUAAAAAACUAUUUCAUUCCUUCUAAUGUGAAAAAACUCUUUAUUUGUGCUCACACUGCUAAUGAGCUACUUGAUAUGUUACAAGCUUAUAAACCGGAGCCAGACCCCUGGACCUUUGUGUUGGAGCGACCAAAUAAUAAUGGUAACAGUAGCCGCAAUAAGAAGUACAAAUUAGAUUUAACUCUCCGCCUGUAAAUAUUUUCUUCUGUGUUGCACCACCCAGGUGAUGUCUUCUAAACUCUACUUCUUUCCUUUAAAACAUUGAGGACAAUGUUUCGUUCUGGUUGGGGGGAGGGAAUAGUCGACAAUUGUGGAAUCUUGGUUAAGUUUUUACUAAUUUUUUGUUGUAGAAACUAACUGUUGCUAACAUUUUAUGUUGAAGAUGGCUGAAUAUGGAGUGUAGUUACUCUAGAAACGCAUCUUCAUCGUUUUAAAAAAAAAAAAAAAAAAACAUGUUUUCUUCCUCUUUCUCCUUAAUAAAUAUGUAGUUUCAAAUUUUUGAGUCGAAGAUGGCUGAAUAUGGAGUGUAGUGCCUCUAGAAACGCAUAUUCUUAGUUUAAAAAAAAAAAAAUUCUUUUUUCUAAUUAAUUUUCUACAUCAUUUUCACAUUUCUGCAUGCAUAUUUUCCUUUCAUGUUUAGAAUAGGUUGGGGGGUAGAAUGUUGUUUAAAAAAAAAAAAUUGUGUUAUUUGUUUUAACAUUGGAUGACAUGAUUAAUUUCAAAUUUUAGUAUUUGUAUUAUCUUUGGUCUUAAGUGAUGUUACGCUAUGUUUGCUACUUUACAUGUUGAUGUCGGAGACAAAUAUGAGUUGCUUGAAGGAAUGAACAUGUCAUAAAUAAGUGCCAAGUGAGUAGUUGAGCCUAUCAUUUUCUUGGAGAGUAACCAUUUUGCCCAUUCUCUAUACAGCUUAGCAGUUUAUUAUUUUAUACACGAUCUCUAGAUUUCUUUUAAGUUAACCCUUUAAAAAAAAAAAUAUGGUAAAAUUAAAAAAAAAUUAAAAAAAAAAAGAGAAAAAAAGAAAAAUAUGUGUGUUGCUACAUUGGGAGGCCCAUCUAACUAGUAGAUAUGGAUAAUUAUUUAGAGCCCUAAAAGACGAUGGAAAGGCCAUUUUUGAUUCGUUUGAGCCUUUCUAGCCAUCCCUUUUAUUAAAUAUCCAUAGUUACCCCUUUUGAGCCUUUAAAAAAAAAAAAAAAAAAAAGAACAAAAACCUUUUCUUUGUCAACUUAUCAUCUUGACCCACUCCGAUUUGGAGUAUUACCCAAUGUCUUUUAAGUUCCAUCACCUAUUUAUGUUUGAGAAAAUGUAAAUAAUUAUGUUGUUCAGUGAAGUUAUGCCAAAUAAAAGCAAAAAAAAAAAAAACAAAAACAAAAACAAAAGUUGUUGUUUCAAAAGAAUAAAAAUAACAAUAAUAGGUGAAAUCCACCUUGCAAGUUCCAAAAAAAAAAAAAAAAAAUUCUGCAUUUUUCUCAAACAUACACUUUGUUUUCCUUAUUUCCUUUCUUUGUUAGCCAUAUCCCUAGCCUACGUUACGUCCUAAUAAAAGUCCUUCUUGAUUUUAGGGAACUAUAGUUUGAAGUAGAAGCUAGUUAUAUGGGCUAAAAAGAUGUAGUGAUGCAUAAUAAAAAAAAAAAAAGAUAAAUAAAGUGGGUUGACUAACAUUUUAUUUGACUUGAGAUCGUAUUAUUUCUAAGCUGAGGGCAUAUUUAUUUCAUCUUGGUGAGAGCAUGUGAUAUCAUUUCUUUAUUAUUUUCUCUCUCAAUUACCAUUCAUUGGAGUGACUAUGUUUAUUGGGUUUUAAUUUCUUUGUGAGAGUGUCACUACUUCCAGUGAGAUUUUGGGGUUUGACAUGUCAUUCUUGAAAGUAGCUAUAACAAAGUCUACUGGGCUAAUUCAUGUGGAUGGUUGAUGUGGGUGUGAUGUUGCUUUAGACUGGAGAUAAUGCUUAUACUUUUAUUUGAUUGCUAUCAUUAAUCUGAUUGAAUAAACACGAGUGUUUCUAAAAAAAAAAAAAAAAAAAAAUCAUUUUGAAUUUGAAUUUUGUUUUCGCUUUAUUUGCUAGGGACUAGCAAUAAGCUGGUUGGGGGGUGUGUUGAGUGUUAGAAAAUGCAUAUUUAUAAAGGAGAAAACCGUCAUUUUACAUUUCAAGUCUUACUAACAACCCUUACUUUUAUGUAUUUAACCUUCUUGUGAUGUAAUUACGUGUGUGUUAUUUUAAUUAAGUAUUUUUUUUGUAUUUUAGGGGCAUUAUAGUCAUUUCACAAUAAAGGAGAGAUCAGACGGCAAAACGGACAUCACUUUUGAACUCAGGACGGUCGAAAACCUUAGGAGGAGCAUAAAAGGAAAAAUGGCACUAUUCACAUCAUAUCAGUGGACGAAAAAUCUCGCGUACGGUGCAUGCAUCACACAGGAUUAUUGUCAACCAAACCGCGUUACUGUUCAUCCAGGUCAAACCGUGUUACUGUUCAUCCGCGUGGUCAAACCGUGGACUGUUGACUGAUGACGUGGCGCAAUCCUGAGCGUCCGAACUGUUUUUAAUCCGAUGGCCAUGAUUUACUCCAUGUAUCUAUAAAAAGGGGGCCUCUCCCCCUAAUUUGAUAUCUCUGAAUCCAUUUUUGGGAUCCAUUUUCUGUAAUUCCUUCUCCAUCUUGUAUUUUCUUUGUAUUUUAAUAAAUUUCCAUUUUGCCCCUAGUUCAAUUAUGAGUAGCUAAUUUCCUUUCAAGCUUGGGUUGAAGGUGAAGUCUCAACAUGUGUCAUGGGCUUUAUUUGGUAAAUUUAUUUUCUUUUCCCCUCUAGUUUUUGUGGAUGAUUUGACUUAUCGUCGACAAAUAAUACUGAUCUUGUCUAGAUACCGCCUUGGUUACACCGGCUCUCUAGUAUAAGGUUAUUAUUAUUUGGCACGAUAAGCCCUUAGCACCAUAUUGAUUAGAGCGUGGUUCAUGAGGUGUGGAUUCCCCCCUCAUGAUUUAAUUGGCAUUAAUAUGGAUUAUUUAGCCCAUGAUGCAUGUUGAUACGGAUCCGGAUACCCAAGUACGUUAUUUCAAUAGAUUUCACUUCAAUUUAUUCUCGCCAUUGCAAUUCCAAUUUCAGAAUUUAUUCUCGCCAUUUUAAUUUAAGUUUUAGCAUAUUCCAAAUCAUUUCCACCACAAUUCCAACCACCCAUUUACAAAAUUAAUUCUACAUAUAAUUAAAAUCCACCUCCUCGUGGGAUCGACACUCGUCACCAUUGAUCUAUACUACAAUAGAUUCGUGCGCUUGCGAGUUCAUUAAAAUUUGCACAACAAAACACAAGCACUGUUGCCGGCUGCCG